UUUUUUUUUAUUGUUAUUUUCUAGUUGGGAGGCAGACUUUUUAUCCUCUAGAGAUCCGAACACAACGAUCCAGAACGAGAAACUUCCUCAACUAACACCCGCCAUUGCUCACCAGCCACCGCCCCACCACCACCUACAGAGGUAGAGAGGCAAGGGUUCUUAAUCAUCGACAAUGGCGUCCGCCUUUGACUCCUUCAGUCCCGGGGGAGACGACUCCACCAACAACAUCCAAAAUGACCAAAUUUCAUCAAAUUCCCGCCCUUUCGACUACGAUGGCUAUAUGGGUUACGACUCCUCAUUCCCCGCACCCACCUCCCAGGAUGACGUUUUCUCCGGCCAACCUCCACCACCCAUCUCGGAUGACCUCAAUGUUGAUCCUCCUGCCAAUGUUAUGUCGCCCGCCGACUUAAACGACAGCGACCACCCACAUUCCCAGGAGGUGUACGGGUUUGGGUUGUCUGCGCCGAACCAGGAGUUCUCCUCGCCUUUCGAGACCACGGGGACGCCUGAAACCAAUGGUAAUACGAAAGGGUAUGGAGAGGAUGAUGGUGGCAUUUUUGCCUCCGAUGGACCGCUUCUGCCCGAUCCUAGUCAGAUGCGGGAGGAAGGCUUCCAACGACGCGAGUGGCGCCGGCAAAAUGCUCUCCAUCUUGAGGAAAAGGAGAAGAGAGAGAAGGAGAUGCGCAAUCAAAUUAUUAAUGAAGCUGAAGAAUAUAAAAGAGAAUUUUAUGAGAAAAGGCAGCUCAAUUGUGAAACUAACAAGGCUCACAACAGAGAAAGAGAGAAGCUGUACUUGGCUAACCAAGAGAAAUUCCAUAAAGAAGCACACAAACAUUAUUGGAAAGCCAUUGCUGAGAUCAUUCCUCGAGAGGUUCCAAAUAUUGAAAAGAGAGGUAGGAAAGAUCCUGAAAAAAAACCUUCCAUUGUGGUAAUUCAGGGUCCAAAGCCUGGUAAACCCACUGAUCUUUCAAGAAUGAGGCAAAUUUUUGCAAAGGUUAAACAAAACCCUCCAGCUCAUAUGAUGCCUCUCCCACCUGCCAAAGAUGGCAAGGAUGCAAAGGAUGGGAAAGAUGGCAAGGAUGCGAAGGACGGGAAAGACACCAAGGACGGGAAAGAUGGCAAGGAUGCAAAGGGAGGGGAAGAUGGCAAGGAUGCCAAGGGAGGGGAGGAUCGCAAGGAUGAGAAAAGUUCUGCUGCACCUACACCUACACCUACACCUACAACAGCAGCUGCUGCUGUUGCCAACAACCAACCUUCUUUGCCCAUUANAAAGAUCCCCCUGCCAAUGUUGCACCUGACUCAUCUAAAAUAGAGACUCUUGUUGCUGCCGAGGGUGAGCAAACUGCUGCUAGUGAACCAGCCACCAAUGAGUGAUGGCACAUCAUGAUUUUUAUUAUAAAUUUCGUUUCAUUCCUUGAAUACUUUGCUUUAACCAUUUUUGCAAAGAAUAAGUGCAUCUGAGUUGGAUGUUCUUGAGUCUAACCUGGGCUGUUGCAACUGUUGAGCUUCUUCCUAACUAUAGGAUUCUCUAGGAUUUUUUUGGAAUUUUUG
rnacentral:misc_RNA from 1 species